rnacentral:rRNA from 1 species
AGAGUUUGAUCCUGGCUCAGGAUGAACGCUGGCGGCGUGCUUAACACAUGCAAGUCGAACGAUGAAGACCGUGCUUGCACGGUUGGAUUAGUGGCGAACGGGUGAGUAUCACGUGAGUAACCUUCCCUUAACUCUGGGAUAAGCCCGGGAAACUGGGUCUAAUACCGGAUACGACCAGUCCUCGCAUGGGGUGCUGGUGGAAAGAUUUAUCGGUUUUGGAUGGACUCGCGGCCUAUCAGCUUGUUGGUGAGGUAAUGGCUCACCAAGGCGAUGACGGGUAGCCGGCCUGAGAGGGUGACCGGCCACACUGGGACUGAGACACGGCCCAGACUCCUACGGGAGGCAGCAGUGGGGAAUAUUGCACAAUGGGCGAAAGCCUGAUGCAGCGACGCCGCGUGCGGGAUGACGGCCUUCGGGUUGUAAACCGCUUUCAGCAGGGAAGAAGCGAAAGUGACGGUACCUGCAGAAGAAGCGCCGGCUAACUACGUG